CCGAAAGGACCGCUAAUACCGCAUUACGUUUCGUUGGGACUUUUGGUCUUGGGAAGGAAAGCUGGGCAACUGGCGCUAAAUGAGAAGCCUGCGUCGCAUCAGCUAGUUGGUGGGGUAAUGGCCUACCAAGGCGAAGACGCGUAGCUGGUCUGAGAGGAUGAUCAGCCACACUGGAACUGAGACACGGUCCAGACUCCUACGGGAGGCAGCAGUGGGGAAUAUUGGACAAUGGGCGCAAGCCUGAUCCAGCCACGCCGCGUGAGUGAUGAAGGCCUUCGGGUCGUAAAGCUCUGUGGGGAGAGACGAACCGCUGGGGUAACCCUUCAGCAUGACGGUAUCUCCUUAGCAAGCACCGGCUAACUUCGUG
rnacentral:rRNA from 1 species